rnacentral:rRNA from 1 species
UACGUAGGGGGCAAGCGUUGUCCGGAAUCAUUGGGCGUAAAGCGCGCGUAGGCGGCCCGGUAAGUCCGCUGUAAAAGUCCAGGGCUCAACCCUGGAAAGCCGGUGGAUACUGUCGGGCUAGAGUCCGGAAGAGGCGAGUGGAAUUCCUGGUGUAGCGGUGAAAUGCGCAGAUAUCAGGAAGAACACCUAUGGCGAAGGCAGCUCACUACUCAAUCAUUGACGCUGAGGCACGAAAGCGUGGGGAUCAAACAGG